rnacentral:lncRNA from 1 species
GUUUAGAGGCGCCGAGUGUUGCGGUGCUCUCGCCGGAGCUCGCGGUGACCUUCACCAUCCCGGAAUCUCGUGCAACUUGACGGAAUGGUGUAGAUCCGGUGUGUUGGAAGAACAUUAUCUUUAAUCUCUAAGACUCGGAGGGUAUGUGGUGUGGAGACCCUAUGAAAGCUUCAAGUUUUGGUGGCUCGUCGGUAAAAAGGCAUGCAAUCUCUGUUUCGAGUACGGCGGGGAGGAUCCAAAACAGUGUGUUAGUCACCGAUGAAAUUUGAUCUCGGUGUCGGUGGAUGUGUUAAAAGGGAUGGUGGUUCCCUCAUACAUGAGUGAGGGUUAGUUCAUGGUGGUUUGGACUUUGAGACAGCAGUGUCUU